rnacentral:rRNA from 1 species
UACGUAGGUGGCAAGCGUUAUCCGGAUUUACUGGGUGUAAAGGGCGUGUAGGCGGGAGAGCAAGUCAGAUGUGAAAACCAUGGGCUCAACCUGUGGCCUGCAUUUGAAACUGUUUUUCUUGAGUACUGGAGAGGCAGACGGAAUUCCUAGUGUAGCGGUGUAAUGCGUAGAUAUUAGGAGGAACACCAGUGGCGAAGGCGGUCUGCUGGACAGCAACUGACGCUGAGGCUCGAAAGCGUGGGGAGCAAACAGG